rnacentral:rRNA from 1 species
UACGAAGGGGGCUAGCGUUGCUCGGAAUCACUGGGCGUAAAGGGUGCGUAGGCGGGUUUUUAAGUCAGGGGUGAAAUCCUGGAGCUCAACUCCAGAACUGCCUUUGAUACUGAAGAUCUUGAGUUCGGGAGAGGUGAGUGGAACUGCGAGUGUAGAGGUGAAAUUCGUAGAUAUUCGCAAGAACACCAGUGGCGAAGGCGGCUCACUGGCCCGAUACUGACGCUGAGGCGCGAAAGCGUGGGGAGCAAACAGG